CAUACAUCUAAAAUCCAGCAAGGAACUUGACAGAAGCGAUGUAAUAUAAACAAAAACCAUCAAAAUUCGUGACGGCUAGCAACAUGCAAUUCUUCAGCUUCAAAGGGAAGAGCUUCAGGAAACCAGAACCCGUUUAAACAGCAAGGUAAUAGAACUCGCAGCUAAACCCGAGUACACUUAAAGAAUAUGUCUGGAUGUACCGACAGAACAUAAAUACAAGCAAUAGCAGCAGAUUGAGUGCAAAAACUUAUCUUAUAAAGAAUAGUGGAAGUGAAUUCAUACAUGCUUACUUUCCUCAAUAAAUAAUGAUCAAGAUAUUUGCUGUAUCAAGA